rnacentral:misc_RNA from 1 species
GAAAUGCGAUAAGUAGUGUGAAUUGCAGUAGUAAGUUUUCUUUCGCCCGGAACGAUGGGCGAUCCCGCCGUCAAACCCCCCAAUUCUUCACAGGUUGACCUCGGAUCAGGUAGGGAUACCCGCUGAACUUAA